UCUCCGUAGGUGAACCUGCGGAGGGAUCAUUACAGAGUUCUCGCCCUCGCGGGUAGAUCUCCCACCCACUGUUAUCGUUACUGUGUUGCUUUGGCGGGCCGCCGGGCCCCGCUCGGCCGCCGGCUCGGGCUGGCGCGCGCCCGCCAGAGGCCCAGCAAACUCUGAAUGUUAGUGUCGUCUGAGUACUAUAUAAUAGUUAAAACUUUCAACAACGGAUCUCUUGGUUCUG
rnacentral:misc_RNA from 1 species